rnacentral:rRNA from 1 species
UGUGCCUACGGGACGCAGCAGUGGGGGAUAUUGCACAAUGGGGGGAACCCUGAUGCAGCGACGCCGCGUGAACGAAGAAAUAUUUCGGUAUGUAAAGUUCUAUCAGCAGGGAAGAAAAUGACAGUACCUGACCAAGAAGCCCCGGCUAACUACGUGCCAGCAGCCGCGGUAAUACGUAGGGGGCAAGCGUUAUCCGGAUCUACUGGGUGUAAAGGGAGCGUAGACGGCAGCGCAAGUCUGGAGUGAAAUGCCGGG